AUUGAACGCUGGCGGCAGGCUUAACACAUGCAAGUCGAGCGGGGUGAUGGUGCUUGCACUAUCACUUAGCGGCGGACGGGUGAGUAAUGCUUAGGAAUCUGCCUAUUAGUGGGGGACGACAUCUCGAAAGGGAUGCUAAUACCGCAUACGUCCUACGGGAGAAAGCAGGGGAUCACUUGUGACCUUGCGCUAAUAGAUGAGCCUAAGUCGGAUUAGCUAGUUGGUGGGGUAAAGGCCUACCAAGGCGACGAUCUGUAGCGGGUCUGAGAGGAUGAUCAGCCACACUGGGACGGAGACACGGCCCAGACUCCUACGGGAGGCAGCAGUGGGGAAUAUUGGACAAUGGGGGGAGCCCUGAUCCAGCCAUGCCGCGUGUGUGAAGAAGGCCUUAUGGUUGUAAAGCACUUUAAGCGAGGAGGAGGCUCUUUUGGUUAAUACCCAAGAUGAGUGGACGUUACUCGCAGAAUAAGCACCGGCUAACUCUGUGCCAGCCGCCGCAGUAA
rnacentral:rRNA from 1 species